rnacentral:rRNA from 1 species
AAAAGACUUAGUCCUAACCUUUCUAUUGGUUUUUGCUAGACAUAUACAUGCAAGUAUCCGCAUCCCAGUGAAAAUGCCCCCAAACCUUUCUUCCCAAGCAAAAGGAGCAGGUAUCAGGCACACUCAGCAGUAGCCCAAGACGCCUUGCUUAAGCCACACCCCCACGGGUACUCAGCAGUAAUUAACCUUAAGCAAUAAGUGUAAACUUGACUUACCCAUAGCAACCCAGGGUUGGUAAAUCUUGUGCCAGCCACCGCGGUCAUACAAAAAACCCAAAUCAAUAGCUACCCGGCGUAAAGAGUGGCCACAUGUUAUCUGCACCAGCUAAAAUUAAAAUGCAACCAAGCUGUCAUAAGCCUAAAAUCCACCUAAACCCAACCCAAAUCCAUCUUAGCCUAAACGAUUAAUUUUAACCCACGAAAGCUAGGACCCAAACUGGGAUUAAAUACCCCACUAUGCCUAGCCCUAAAUCUAGAUACCUCCCAUCACACAUGUAUCCGCCUGAAAACUACAAGCACAAACGCUUAAAACUCUAAGGACUUGGCGGUGCCCCAAACCCACCUAGAGGAGCCUGUU